UGAGCAAUCUGCCCUUCACAUCGGAAUAACCAUUGGAAACGAUGGCUAAUACCGAAUAUGACUUCGGAUCGCAUGAUCUGAAGUGGAAAGCUCCGGCGGUGAAGGAUGAGCUCGCGGCCUAUCAGCUUGUUGGUGAGGUAAUAGCUCACCAAGGCGAUGGACGGGUAGCCGGCCUGAGAGGGUGACCGGCCACACGUGGGACUGAGACACCGGCACGUA
rnacentral:rRNA from 1 species